rnacentral:rRNA from 1 species
UCUGACCUACGGGGGGCAGCAGUGAGGAAUAUUGGUCAAUGGGCGCGAGCCUGAACCAGCCAAGUCGCGUGAGGGAUGACGGUCCUACGGAUUGUAAACCUCUUUUGCCGGGGAGCAAGCGUGCGUUCGUGAACGCACGUCGAGAGUACCCGGAGAAAAAGCAUCGGCUAACUCCGUGCCAGCAGCCGCGGUAAUACGGAGGAUGCGAGCGUUAUCCGGAUUUAUUGGGUUUAAAGGGUGCGUAGGCGGACUGUUAAGUCAGCGGUAAAAGCCCGGGGCUCAACCCCGGCGAGCCGUUGAAACUG